CCUGUUUAAUAUCUUCUAUUCCCUGCACAUUAAAAAACUGCCAUUUAGUAUCACCUACAUGGCAGAAAUAACCAUCCCAAGACAGCUAUCACAGGUGGAAGCAACUUCUGCAGUUUUAGUUCAAGGUCAUCCAACAUAGCUGGCUUCAAGUUUUGCUUCCCAUCUGGAAAGCCAGCAGUAUCAGGUGCUGGCAGAUUUCCCAAAGAAAGUGUUUCAUGAUGGCAGUGGAUGCUGUUUUAUAGGCAUUUUUCACAGGCAUAGGCAGUAACUGUGGGUGAUGUCACCUGUACUAUUAAUAUUUACUGGGUCCAAACAUGCCAGUGCAUUUUAAAAUGCAUGAAUUUCACACUACAAAUGAUUUUGAAGUUCAGUUUUGAUCUGAUUUGUAUCACAGAGAGGUCUGAGGUUUUGCUGCCUGUCUCUGUCAGCUGAACUAAGCUAACACAUGCAUUAUCCAUUUUUACAAUCAUGUCUUUCAGCACAGCAGAUUUCCGUGCCCCCAGUGAUGUGAAUCCUACACUGCUUCUGAAGACACACACAUCCAUAGCAGUAACACAUUAAAUGUGCAACAAAGAGGAUGCUGCCUGAGCAGCUCCCUCAGCUUUUGGUUCUGUUAUCUCACCAGGAAAGAGAGAAAAAAAAAGGAAGUGGGACAGAAGAAUUAGGAAGGGAGAGUGUGCAUGUUCUGAAAUGGUGGAAAAAUCCUUCCUGAGGAGAUUAACCUUUCUGUUGAUGGGCCAGAGCAAAGACCGUGUCAUCUAUAACUUGCCCUUCCAGGCAUGCACCUAUUUCUGCCUUUGAAGGAGAAGAAUAAGUUUGAAAAUGUCUUCGAAGUUCAGGUUUGGCUUUUCAGAAAUCUAUUGGUUUUCUCUAAAACUGGCUAACAGCCUGAUUAAUUUUGUGGAGCUGGGCUGUGAUAUGAAAGCCUUUAGUCACUGCUGGGGGAAAAAAAGCAUGCAGAAAGAAGGAAAAAUAGUAAGAUAGAACUGACAUUCAUAAUUUUGUUGAAUUCAACAGAAUUUGAAUGAGUCUUUGAACCACCACAUGAUAACAAAAAAAACCCGCCAGAGAUCAUUUGCCAUAUCAUUUCCUCCCAAGGUCUAUUAAAUCAUCUGAUGUGACUGGAGAUGGUUCUGUCAGCUGUGGUCUGAGUGUAAGAGCACAAUUAUAAUAUUGGGAUUUAUUUUGUCCAUGUCACAAAUUUAUUUUUUUUAAAUUAUCACAUAUUUACAGCCUAGACAUCUUAAAACCUGAGUUUCCACUUCAAAAGUGUCUCACUCACAAUCUACCAUAUGACCCCAUUUUAAAAUUAUGUGAGCAAAGAAUAUAAAAAGCACUGCAUGCAAUUGCCCACUGCACUUCCAGAAUCACUGCCCUGUCUGUUCCAUAUCUAAGAGCCUCUGGUUAUAAAAAGAUUCUUUUAGUUGCUUAUCCUGUAUGUUCUUGUUCUUAUCUCCAAGCUUUGACCUUUUAUUUUUUAUUAUUUACUUUUGCAAAAAGCCUGUUGGCAGCAGUCUGUUCUUUUCCAUGUCAGGCUUUUCUCUGCUGUGUCUCACUGAGAUGUCUUUUGAAAUACAAACACCAGAUUCACAAUGUUGAAUUUCAACUCCUUCCUCUGACUCUGAAAGUCCUUUUGGUUUCUAUGGUAUUAUACUCAAAGUAUGGCACACAAUGACUCCUGUCACAUCUGCUGUAAGUGCCUGUAAUUGCCCACUGCCCAAAUAAGAUUCUUAGCUGCUUUCCAUCUUUUAUGCUGCACUUCUGUAGAACAAGUCAUAUUGCACUGAAUAAAGCUGGUUUAAAAACUCAACCUGAAAGAGAUCCUGCUUUGAGUUUUCUCAUUCAACUACAUAUUCCCAAGCAGAAACAGACAUUCAGUGGGAAAAGUGAUUGCUAAUUAAGGAUGGUCUUCAGUACUUUGCUAACUAGAAGUUUUACAGUUAAAUGAUGGUUCCAACUUCCUAAUUUUCU